GUAGGGUGCAAGCGUUAAUCGGAAUUACUGGGCGUAAAGCGUGCGCAGGCGGUUUUGUAAGUCUGAUGUGAAAUCCCCGGGCUCAACCUGGGAAUUGCAUUGGAGACUGCAAGGCUAGAAUCUGGCAGAGGGGGGUAGAAUUCCACGUGUAGCAGUGAAAUGCGUAGAUAUGUGGAGGAACACCGAUGGCGAAGGCAGCCCCCUGGGUCAAGAUUGACGCUCAUGCACGAAAGCGUGGGGGGAGCAAACAGGAUUAGAUACCCUGGUAGUCCACGCCCCUAAACGAUGUCUACUAGUUGUCGGGUCUUAAUUGACUUGGUAACGCAGCUAACGCGUGAAGUAGACCGCCCUGGGAGUACGGUCGCAAGAUUA
rnacentral:rRNA from 1 species